GUGAAAAUCUGAGGUGGUCAACACCAAAGAAUUGUAAUCUAGAGAGUUGAUCUAAAGCUAAGCUCCUCGCAUAAGUUCCUUGGAACAGGACGUCAAAGAGGGUGACAACCCCGUAGUCGGCGAGGAAGGCUGGUGAAAGAGAGACUUCAACGAGUCGGGUUGUUUGGGACUGCAGCCCUAAGUGGGAGAUAAACUUCUUCUAAAGCUAAAUAUACACGGGAGACCGAUAGCGAACAAGUACUGCGAAGGAAAGAUGAAAAGAACUUUGAAAAGAGGGUUAAAAGACUUGAAACCGUUGAGAAGGAAGCUGUAGAAGAGCAAUAAACUGGAUUCAGUGUAACGGGGAAGCGUUAAUCACUGCGAAGUCGAUACGAAAGGUCGAUUAGUAAGGAAAUGACGUCGAACUUGCUACUGGGUUCAGAAGACAAAAUGAGUUCUGACUGGAGGAGUCACCUGAGAUCAGGGUCACAGCAGAUCAAAAGGGAAACUCCAGGCGGGACUGAGGGGCCUACGGGCGAUUUUGUCAAAAUGGCUUCUACUGACCCGUCUUGAAACACGGACCAAGGAGUCUAUCAAUUAAGCGAGUGAUAGGGUGGAGAAACCCGUCCGCGAAACGAAAGUGAGUAUAAGGUGCCAAGCCCACAAGGUAGCAGCAUCACCCGACCUUGAGUGUUUAACGAAGGGUUCGAGGAAGAGCUUAAUUGUUAGGACCCGAAAGAUGGUGAACUACGCUUGAAUAGGGUGAAGCCAGGGGAAACUCUGGUGGAAGCUCGUAGC
rnacentral:rRNA from 1 species